rnacentral:rRNA from 1 species
UAAGGCUAGGGGGUCAUCCCGACUUACCAACCCUUUGCAAACUCCGAAUACCGUGGAGUACAGCAUGGCAGACACACUGCGGGUGCUAACGUCCGUUGUGGAAAGGGAAACAACCCAGACCGUCAGCUAAGGUCCCAAAGUUAUGGUUAAGUGGGAAACGAUGUGGGAAGGCCCAGACAGCUAGGAGGUUGGCUUAGAAGCAGCCACCCUUUAAAGAAAGCGUAAUAGCUCACUAGUCGAGUCGGCCUGCGCGGAAGAUGUAACGGGGCUAAGCAAUAUACCGAAGCUGCGGCAGCACGUUUACGUGCUGGGUAGGGGAGCGUUGUGUAAGUGGUUGAAGGUGAACUGAGAGGUUUGCUGGACAUAUCACAAGUGCGAAUGCUGACAUGAGUA